AAGAUGGAAGCUGCGGGUUCGAGCCCCGUCAGUCCCG
rnacentral:tRNA from 1 species